UAAAAGUUUUAUUUUAGCUUUUAUAUUUAUUAUUAGUUUAUUUUAUAUGCAAAUUUUUGUGUGAAUAAUUAUUUAUCUUAAAGAUUUUAGAUUGUUUAUUUAUAUAUUCGCAGUAAUUAAUAUUAUUUAUUAAAGAAAUUUAGAAAUAGUGAUAUUAGAUAGUAUUGACUAAAUUUGUGCCAGCAGUCGCGGUUAUACAAAAAAUACAAAUAAAUAUUAUUAGUAAAAGUUAAAUURUUUAAAUUAAAAUAAAUGUAAUUUUAUUAGGUGAAAUUUUAAAAUUAUUAUAUUUUUUUAUUAAAAUUAAUUGAAGCUUAAAAAUUUUAAUUUUAAACUAGGAUUAGAUACCCUAUUAUUUAAAAUGUAAUUAAUUUGCUAGAGUAGUAGUAGUUAUGUUCUUGAAACUUAAAAAAUUUGGCGGUAUUUUAGUCUAUUCAGAGGAACCUGUUCUAUAAUCGAUAAUCCACGUUGGACCUUACUUAAUUUUGUUUUUCAGUUUAUAUACCGCCGUUAUUAGAAUAUUUUAUAAGAAUUAAAUAAUUUUCAAUAUUUUUAAUAAAAAUUAAUGUCAGGUCAAGGUGUAGCUUAUAGUUAAGAAAGUAAUGGGUUACAAUAAGUUUAUUUAUGUGAAUUUAAUAUUGAAAUUAUAUUAUUGAAGAUGGAUUUGAUAGUAAAAUUUUAUAGAUUAAAAGUUUGAUUUUAGCUCUAAAAUAUGCACACAUCGCCCGUCGCUCUUAUUAUUAAGAUAAGAUAAGUCGUAACAUAGUAGAUGUACUGGAAAGUGUAUCUAGAAUGA
rnacentral:ncRNA from 1 species